rnacentral:tRNA from 1 species
AGCUCAGUGGACUAGAGCACGUGGCUACGAACCACGGUGUCGGGGGUUCGAAUCCCUCC